GAUGAACGCUAGCGGCAGGCCUAACACAUGCAAGUCGAGGGGCAGCACAGGAAAGUAGUAAUACUUUUGGGUGGCGACCGGCGGACGGGUGCGUAACGCGUAUACAACCUGCCUUCUACUGGGGGAUAAUUCGGAGAAAUCUGGUCUAAUACCCCAUAACAACCGAUGAGGCAUCUCAUUGGUUUAAAAGCUCCGGCGGUAGAAGAUGGGUAUGCGUGACAUUAGAUAGUUGGUGGGGUAACGGCUCACCAAGUCGACGAUGUCUAGGGGGACUGAGAGGUUAACCCCCCACACUGGUACUGAGACACGGACCAGACUCCUACGGGAGGCAGCAGUGAGGAAUAUUGGUCAAUGGACGCAAGUCUGAACCAGCCAUGCCGCGUGCAGGAAGACGGCUCUAUGAGUUGUAAACUGCUUUUGUACGAGGGUAAAGUGGGUUACGUGUAACCUUUUGAAAGUAUCGUACGAAUAAGGAUCGGCUAACUCCGUGCCAGCCGCCGCGGUAA
rnacentral:rRNA from 1 species